GACUAACCUUCGUAAGAAGGUAUGCUGUAUACGAACUGAACGACCGCGCUUCACAACAAAAACAUGGCCACAUGAGUUGGAUUAUUCCGCAGCCCAACAUCAAUUUCAAUCGGUGAUAUUGUUUCUCAUGCAGUCGAAUAUCUGAGAGCUCAUUGCAACAAUGGAUUCCAAAAAUCCAAUCCUGAGAAACGCUUUACAGCGAUUAUGUCCCUCAUGUAAUAUUAUCGUGAACAUUAAUCAACAUGUCUGCAAGUGUGGCUAUAGGCUUUUUGAUGUCAAACGUAAAGCUCAGCCGGAAAGCCAGGCUCAGGCAAAUAUCAAGAGAUCAGAA